UUACUAGAUGUGGGUGGUAUCGACUCCAUCCGUAUCGCAGCUAACGCAUUAAGUAACCCGCCUGAGUAGUACGACCGCAAGGUUGAAACUUAAAGAAAUUGACGGGGACCCGCACAAGCAGAGGAGCAUGCCGUUUAAUUCGACGCAACGCGAAAAACCUUACCAAGACUUGACAUCCAAUGAAUGCCAUAGAAAUAUGUCAGUUUAGCAAUAAACAUUGAGACAGGUGGUGCAUGGUUGUCGUCAGCUCGUGUCGUGAGAUGUUCGGUUAAGUCCGGUAACGAGCGCAACCCUUAUUACCAGUUGCCAAUAUUAAGUUAGGAACUCUGGUGAGACUGCCGUGGAUAACACGGAGGAAGGUGGGGAUGACGUCAAAUCAUCAUGCCCCUUACGUCUUGGGCUACAAGCGUGCUACAAUGGCCAUUACAAAGAGUUGCAAUACCGUAAGGUGGAGCCAAUCUCAAAAAGAUGGUCUCAGUUCGGAUUGUGGGCUGCAACCCGCCCACAUGAAGUUGAAUUUGCUAGUAAUCCCGAAUCAGCAUGUCGGGGUGAAUGCGUUCCCGGGUCUUGUACACACCGCCCGUCAAGCCAUGGGAGUUGGGAGCACCCAAAACCGCUGACCUAACCCGCAAGGGAAGGAGGCGUCUAAGGUGAGACCGAUGACUGGGGUUAAGUCGUAACAAGGUAGCCGUACGAGAACGUGCGGCUG
rnacentral:rRNA from 1 species